UACAACAUAACACUAAUUCAACAGAUCCCAUUAGAAAUCCAUAGUUAAGCAUGCUCAUGCUAGAUUAGUACUGGGAUGGAAGGCCACCCAAGAAGUCCUAGUGUUUUAC
rnacentral:rRNA from 1 species